rnacentral:lncRNA from 1 species
AUGCUGCAGUGGAAAUGCUAAGUCAUGGCUUGAAACAGUGAUUGAGCACCUAGUGGGAAGGCAAGGCCAACUCAGGGGAGCUCAGGUGCAUGCAAUGCACCUGAGUGACCAGAAGGAUUGGAUUCUGGCUCCACCCCUUCCCAGGCCUCAUUUAGGAGUUUGCGGGGGGGGGGGGAGUGGGAGUAUCUUAUUUGGUUAUCUCUGUCUAUGUAAGAUUGUGUAGGCCUUCCUGAGGUAAGCAAAUUAUUUUCCUUUUUUCAGCACCUGCUGCUAUUACGUCCAAGCAGACUAUCCCUUGCCUUAGUUGAAGACCUUACUGCUCUGCCUUCUUGUAACAGCAUUUUACAUCAUCUUCCAGACCCAAGAUCCUGAUGGCCACUUUCACAACUACCCUAUGUCACUUUUCAGUACUUUUGAGUUCUUCACCAAGACGAACAGACCUCCCAACAGUGAAAUAGACCUACCCCUUAUGUAUGACAUCAGAUAUUCAACCUUUACUGUUACUGCCACUCUCCUUACGCUCCGCUUGCUCAUUGCUGUGGUGGAUGCCACCCUGUGGAGAGUGGCUCAUGAACAGGGUUUGGAAGAGACAGAGCUGGGGUCUCAGACACAUAUGCGGCCAAUUCAGUUCAGAAGAGUUGUGGUUUUUCUUCUGGAGGAAGAACAGAACGCUUACGAGCAGAGGACAGUCCAUGAACUGACAUAUUUCUGCUUAUCUAGUCAUCUAGGAGACUGUGCAGCAACUGAUAACACAAAGACAAGGAUGGCAGAUGUCUAG